rnacentral:misc_RNA from 1 species
GAUGAAGAACGCAGCGAAAUGCGAUAAGUAGUGUGAAUUGCAGAAUUCAGUGAAUCAUCGAAUCUUUGAACGCACAUUGCGCCCCUUGGUAUCCCGAGGGGCAUGCCUGUUCGAGCGUCAUUUCACCACUCAAGCCUGGCUUGGUGUUGGGCGACGUCCUCUUUGGGGACGCGCCUCGAAACGCUCGGCGGCGUGGCACCGGCUUUAAGCGUAGCAGAAUCUUUCGCUUUGGAAGUCGGGGCCCCGUCUGCCGGAAGACCUGCUCGCAAGGUUGACCUCGGAACAGGCAGGGAUACCCGCUGAACUUAAGCAUAUCAAUAAGCGGAGGA